UACGUAGGGUGCAAGCGUUGUCCGGAAUCAUUGGGCGUAAAGAGCGUGUAGGCGGUUCGGUAAGUCGGCUGUGAAAGUCCAGGGCUCAACCCUGGGAUGCCGGUCGAUACUGCCGGGCUAGAGUCCGGAAGAGGCGAGUGGAACUCCUGGUGUAGCGGUGGAAUGCGCAGAUAUCAGGAAGAACACCAACGGCGAAGGCAGCUCGCUGGGACGGUACUGACGCUGAGACGCGAAAGCGUGGGGAGCGAACAGG
rnacentral:rRNA from 1 species